rnacentral:rRNA from 1 species
CAGUAGCCGCGGGAAUACGUAGGUGGCAAGCGUUGUCCGGAAUUAUUGGGCGUAAAGGGCUCGCAGGCGGUUUCUUAAGUCUGAUGUGAAGGCCCCCGGCUCAACCGGGGAGGGUCAUUGGAGACUGGGAAACUUGAGUGCAGAAGAGGAGAGUGGAAUUCCACGUGUAGCGGUGAAAUGCGUAGAGAUGUGGAGGAACACCAGUGGCGAAGGCGACUCUCUGGUCUGUAACUGACGCUGAGGAGCGAAAGCGUGGGGAGCGAACAGGAUUAGAUACCCCAGUAGUCCCUGUCUCUUAUAU